CCUACGGGUGGCAGCAGUGAGGAAUAUUGGUCAAUGGACGAGAGUCUGAACCAGCCAAGUAGCGUGAAGGAUGACUGCCCUAUGGGUUGUAAACUUCUUUUAUAUGGGAAUAAAACGUUCCACGUGUGGGAUUUUGUAUGUACCAUAUGAAUAAGGCUCGGCUAACUCCGUGCCAGCAGCCGCGGUAAUACGGAGGCUCCGAGCGUUAUCCGGAUUUAUUGGGUUUAAAGGGAGCGUAGGUGGAUUGUUAAGUCAGUUGUGAAAGUUUGCGGCGCAACCGUAAAAUUGCAGUUGAAACUGGCAGUCUUGAGUACAGUAGAGGUGGGCGGAAUUCGUGGUGUAGCGGUGAAAUGCUUAGAUAUCACGAAGAACUCCGAUUGCGAAGGCAGUUCACUGGACUGCAACUGACACUGAGGCUCGAAAGUGUGGGUAUCAAACAGGAUUAGAUACCCUAGUAGUC
rnacentral:rRNA from 1 species